rnacentral:rRNA from 1 species
UACGAAGGGUGCAAGCGUUACUCGGAAUUACUGGGCGUAAAGCGUGCGUAGGUGGUUUGUUAAGUCUGUUGUGAAAGCCCCGGGCUCAACCUGGGAAUGGCAAUGGAUACUGGCAGGCUAGAGUGCGGUAGAGGGUAGUGGAAUUCCCGGUGUAGAGGUGAAAUUCGUAGAUAUCGGGAGGAACACCAGUGGCGAAGGCGGCGAUCUGGGAAGAUACUGACGCUGAGGUGCGAAAGCGUGGGGAGCAAACAGG